rnacentral:rRNA from 1 species
GACGAACGCUGGCGGCGUGCUUAACACAUGCAAGUCGAACGGAAAGGCCCUGCUUUUGUGGGGUGCUCGAGUGGCGAACGGGUGAGUAACACGUGAGUAACCUGCCCUUGACUUUGGGAUAACUUCAGGAAGCUGGGGCUAAUACCGGAUAGGAGCUCCUGCUGCAUGGUGGGGGUUGGAAAGUUUCGGCGGUUGGGGAUGGACUCGCGGCUUAUCAGCUUGUUGGUGGGGUAGUGGCUACCAAGGCUUUGACGGGUAGCCGGCCUGAGAGGGUGACCGGCCACAUUGGGACUGAGAUACGGCCCAGACUCCUACGGGAGGCAGCAGUGGGGAAUAUUGCACAAUGGGCGGAAGCCUGAUGCAGCAACGCCGCGUGCGGGAUGACGGCCUUCGGGUUGUAAACCGCUUUCGCCUGUGACGAAGCGUGAGUGACGGUAAUGGGUAAAGAAGCACCGGCUAACUACGUG